GAUGAACGCUAGCUACAGGCUUAACACAUGCAAGUCGAGGGGCAUCAUGUCGGUUGCUUGCAACCGAUGAUGGCGACCGGCGAAUGGGUGAGUAACGCGUAUCCAACCUGCCCCCGGCCGGGGUAUAACCCGUCGAAAGGCGGCCUAAUCCCCCAUGUAGUCCUCUGAGGUCCUCCGAUGAGGAUGAAAGGUAUUUUUCCGGCCAGUCGAUGGGGAUGCGUCCGAUUAGCUUGCUGGCGGGGUAACGGCCCACCAGGGCUUCGAUCGGUAGGGGUUCUGAGAGGAAGGUCCCCCACACUGGUACUGAGACACGGACCAGACUCCUACGGGAGGCAGCAGUGAGGAAUAUUGGUCAAUGGGCGGAAGCCUGAACCAGCCAAGUAGCGUGCAGGAUGACGGCCCU
rnacentral:rRNA from 1 species